GACGAACGCUGGCGGCGUGCUUAACACAUGCAAGUCGAACGGAAAGGCCCUGCUUUUGUGGGGUGCUCGAGUGGCGAACGGGUGAGUAACACGUGAGUAACCUGCCCUUGACUUUGGGAUAACUUCAGGAAACUGGGGCUAAUACCGGAUAGGAGCUCCUGCUGCAUGGCGGGGGUUGGAAAGUUUCGGCGGUUGGGGAUGGACUCGCGGCUUAUCAGCUUGUUGGUGGGGUAGUGGCUUACCAAGGCUUUGACGGGUAGCCGGCCUGAGAGGGUGACCGGCCACAUUGGGACUGAGAUACGGCCCAGACUCCUACGGGAGGCAGCAGUGGGGAAUAUUGCACAAUGGGCGGAAGCCUGAUGCAGCAACGCCGCGUGCGGGAGGACGGCCUUCGGGUUGUAAACCGCUUUCGCCUGUGACGAAGCGUGAGUGACGGUAAUGGGUAAAGAAGCACCGGCUAACUACGU
rnacentral:rRNA from 1 species